AGCAGGAUGCUGGUGGAAGCAGAGGGGGCCGGCCGGGUGCCUCCGCAGCUCGGCUGGCAGGGCCCGGCGGGGCGUGUGCGGCUGCUAGUGCUAGCCCCCCCGCCCCACCCCUCCCCAUGCAGCCCUGGCAGUGCCUCCGGCGCUUUGCCCUGGCCUGGUGGGAGAGGACAGCUGAGGGCAGCGCCCGAUCUCCCAGGGAGGAGUCUGGACCGAGGGACCCCGGGGGCCGAGGGGAACCAGGGCUCCAGCGUGCAGCGGGAGGGAAGGCUCCAGGACUCUGUUCCCUCUGUUUAAAGUCUCCAGAUCCGGAGCGGAGCAGCCCCCCCAUGCUGUCUGCUGAUGAUGCCGAGUACCCGCGGGAGUACCGGACCCUGGGGGGCGGGGGCGGCGCGGGCGGCGGGGGCCGGCGCUUCUCCAACGUGGGGCUGGUGCACACGUCCGAGCGGCGGCACACGGUGAUUGCCGCCCAGAGCCUGGAGGCGCUCAGCGGGCUCCAGAAGGCGGACGCCGACCGCAAGCGCGAUGCCUUCAUGGACCACCUGAAGAACAAGUACCCCCAGCACGCCCUGGCCUUGCGGGGUCAGCAGGACAGGAUGAGAGAGCAGGUUGGCGGCUGGACCGUGGACCCCGUGUGCCUCCUCAGCUCCCUCUGCUCCCACCUCCAUGGCGACUCCGCCCCCUCCGGGGCUGGCCAGCCGGCCCAGCAGCCAAACUACUGGAGUUUCAAGACCCGCAGCUCACGCCACACUCAGGGAGCCCAGCCCGGGCUGGCAGACCAGGCAGCCAAGCUGUCUUACGCCUCGGCUGAGUCGCUGGAGACCAUGUCGGAGGCGGAGCUGCCCCUGGGCUUCAGUAGGAUGAACCGCUUCCGACAGAGCCUCCCCCUCUCCCGUUCUGCCAGCCAGACCAAGCUGCGCUCGCCAGGGGUGCUGUUCCUGCAGUUCGGGGAGGAGACCCGGCGCGUGCACAUCACGCACGAGGUCAGCAGCCUGGACACGCUGCACGCACUCAUCGCGCACAUGUUCCCGCAGAAGCUCACCAUGGGCAUGCUUAAGUCGCCCAACACCGCCAUCCUCAUCAAAGACGAGGCCCGCAACGUCUUCUACGAGCUGGAGGACGUCCGGGACAUCCAGGACCGAAGUAUUAUCAAGAUCUAUAGGAAGGAGCCUCUUUACGCUGCUUUCCCUGGCUCACACCUUACCAACGGGGACCUCCGGAGAGAGAUGGUGUAUGCCUCGCGGGAGUCGUCGCCCACACGGCGUCUCAACAACCUCUCGCCAGCGCCGCACCUGGCGUCCAGCUCUCCGCCCCCGGGGCUGCCGUCGGGGCUGCCGUCGGGGCUCCCAUCGGGGCUGCAAUCCGGCUCGCCAUCGCGCUCGCGCCUCUCCUACGCCGGGGGGCGCCCGCCCUCCUACGCGGGCAGCCCUGUGCACCACGCGGCGGAGCGGCUGGGGGGCGCCCCAGCCGCCCAGGGCGUCAGCCCCAGCCCCAGCGCCAUCCUGGAGCGGCGCGACGUGAAGCCGGACGAGGACCUGGCAGGCAAGGCGGGCGGCAUGGUGCUGGUGAAGGGCGAGGGCCUCUACGCCGACCCCUACGGGUUGCUCCACGAGGGCCGCCUGAGCUUGGCGGCGGCCGCCGGCGACCCAUUCGCCUACCCGGGCGCCAGUGGCCUCUACAAGCGGGGCUCGGUGCGCUCGCUCAGCACCUAUUCAGCCGCGGCGCUGCAGUCCGACCUGGAGGACUCGCUGUACAAGGCGGGCGGUGGCCCGCUCUACGGCGACGGCUACGGCUUCCGCCUGCCACCCUCGUCGCCGCAGAAGCUGGCCGAUGUGGCGGCACCCCCCGGAGGCCCCCAGCCUCCGCACAGCCCCUACUCGGGGCCGCCCAGCCGCGGCUCGCCAGUGCGCCAGUCUUUCCGCAAAGACUCGGGCUCCUCGUCGGUCUUCGCAGAGAGCCCCGGAGGCAAGACCCGCAGUACGGGGGGCUCCUCGACGGCCGGAGCUCCCCCUCCCGAGCUCUUCCCCGGGCCUGGGGAGCGCCCGCUUCUUGGGUUUGGUCCGCCGGUGCCAGCCAAGGACACGGAGACCAGGGAGCGCAUGGAGGCCAUGGAGAAGCAGAUUGCCAGCCUCACGGGCCUGGUACAGAGUGCCCUGCUACGAGGCUCCGAGCCUGAGACCCCCAGUGAGAAGAUAGAAGGCUCCAAUGGAGCAGGCACCCCCUCAGCACCCUGUGGGUCAGGCAGCCGGAGCAGCGGCGCCACCCCAGUGUCCGGCCCUCCCCCGCCCUCGGCUGGUAGUACUCCUGCGGGACAGCCCACGGCCAUCAGCCGUUUGCAGAUGCAGCUGCACCUGCGUGGCCUGCAGAACAGCACCAGUGACCUGCGCAGCCAACUUCAGCAAUUGCGAAAGCUCCAGCUACAGAACCUGGAGUCGCUGCGCGCGCUGCUGAAGGGCACAGAGGCGGAGCUGAGCAUGCGCGUGUCGGAGGCGGCGCGGCGGCAGGAGGACCCGCUGCAGCGGCAGCGCACCCUGGUGGAGGAGGAGCGGCUGCGCUACCUCAACGACGAGGAGCUCAUUACCCAGCAGCUCAAUGACCUAGAGAAGUCGGUGGAGAAGAUCCAGCGGGAUGUGUCGCACAACCACCGGCUGGUGCCUGGACCAGAGCUGGAGGAGAAGGCGCUGGUGCUCAAGCAGCUUGGGGAGACGCUGACCGAGCUCAAGGCUCACUUCCCAGGCCUGCAGAGCAAGAUGCGGGUAGUGCUGCGUGUGGAGGUGGAGGCCGUGAAGUUCCUGAAGGAGGAGCCGCAGCGCCUGGACGGGCUCCUCAAACGCUGCCGUGGGGUCACAGACAUGCUGGCCCAGAUCCGAAGGCAAGUGGACGAGGGGGUGUGGCCACCCCCCAACAACCUCCUGACUCAGUCCCCCAAGAAGGUGACGGCUGAGACGGACUUCAACAAGAGCCUGGACUUCGAGAUGCCACCCCCCAGCCCUCCACUGAACCUCCACGAGCUGAGUGGGCCGGCCGAUGGAGCGCCUCCUACUCCCAAGGGGGGUAACCCCACCAAAGGCCUGGAUGCCGCUGGCAAGAGAAGCGCGGACAAGGCUGUGUCUGUUGAGGCUGCCGAGCGGGACUGGGAGGAGAAGCGAGCAGCCCUGACCCAGUACAGCGCCAAGGACAUCAACCGGUUGCUGGAGGAGACGCAGGCGGAGCUGCUGAAGGCCAUCCCUGACCUGGACUGUGCGAGCAAGGCCCACCCAGGCCUGGCCCCCACCCCUGACCACAAGCCCCCCAAGGUCCCUCACGGCCAGAAGGCAGCCCCUCGAACCGAGCCCAGUGGAAGGAGGGGCUCAGAUGAGCUGACAGUGCCUCGGUACCGCACGGAGAAGCCCUCCAAGUCGCCCCCCCCGCCCCCGCCCCGCCGGAGCUUCCCCUCCUCCCACGGCCUGACCACCACGCGCACCGGAGAGGUGGUGGUCACCAGCAAGAAGGAUUCGGCCUUCAUCAAGAAGGCCGAGUCCGAGGAGCUGGAGGUACAGAAGCCCCAAGUGAAGCUGCGCCGGACCGUGUCCGAGGUGGCCCGGCCGGCCUCCACGCCACCCAUCAUGGCCUCGGCCAUCAAAGAUGAGGACGAUGAGGACCGCAUCAUCGCCGAGCUAGAGGUGUUUGAGAGAAGUUCAGUGUCUUCCCUCCCCCCCACGCCCCGUCGCCAGCAGAUCCCCACCUUGCUGGCACCCCAGGACCUGGGGCCCCCUGGGGGCUCAGCCCAGGGCCCCACAUGGAAGGUAACGGGCUGCCCCCCACCUCUCACGGCUCUCUCUGCCUGUGCCUCCACACCUUCCUCUCCUCACCUCUCACGCUAACCCGCUAACACGCCAGUCACCUUGCCCCAAGUCCCACCACUGCCACAGCCUCGCCUGCCUGGACUCACCCCUCCCCGGCUCCAAGGACAGGCACAUAACCCUUCCGGCCUUCUGAAAAUUCUAGCAGUCUGGUACCCGGCGCCACCCCCCCCUGCUGUGGCCACAUUUUUCUUACAGGCUUGAUUGUGAGCUGGGCAUUUGUUCCAGGCUGCGGCCAGAGUUUAGGUCUGACCCAGAGCCUGGGUUUUGUCUUGGUCCAAGACCGGAGCUUGGACCCUGAUCACUACGUGACUUGAGGUCCAACUCAAAACCGGACUUCGUCCUGAGCCCUUGCCCAGUCCCUGCUCCCCAACCCCCUCCUCUGCCACUGGGGCCUGGUGGAGCUCUCCCACUAGAAUCUAUGCCUUGCACUGGGGGCCAGGACACCCCAGGAGAAAGGCUCAUUUACAGCCUCCUUCUCUCCCAUGGCCCCAGUGGUCAGGGAACUUGGAGUAGAAGAAAGCCAUGCCCUUCCUUGGCUGCUGGUUCUGUCUUUCAGCACUGGGAAGUUCUGCCUUCUCUCUAACUUCAGUCCUUGCUGCUGUCCUGCUGCACUUAUUUUCUCUUUAUCUUUCCUUGGGAAUGUUGGGGUGGACCUGCUGUCUGCACCCCCAGGGGACUGCACUCGGGGAGGGGGACCUGGGGGAGGUGGUCUGGGAAUCUUUCCCUCUUCCCAGUCAGGUUGGGGCAGGAGAACCUCUGCUCUGGGGAGGGCAGCCUCCUACACUCAUGUGCUCACCCGCCUCGUCUGGUUCUCUUUGGCCCACCGUGGGCUCAGUGCUGGCCGCCACCUAAUUUCUGGCCUGACCCGUGGCUUGUGGCACUUUGAUUCCUUGGCCAGGGCCGGGGAGCAGACAGGUGGACAAAACCAUCUGCUGGGCCAAGGAUGGGUACAGAGCAGUCUGAGGAGCCAUCUGGGGAUGAGCAGUGUGCAAGGGGUGCCGCCCAGGCUGUCCGUGCCCUUGGCAUUUUGGCCCACUGCACCCAGCUCCUGCCUCUCUCUGGCCUCUGGGAGCCAGUCCUGAAGGGGUCCAGUGGGCAAAGCCUCUCUGCUGGCCUUCUGGGCUGGCUUAUGCCCUGCAUCCUGAGAUGCCAUCGGGCCGCGGAGCCGGGCAGGCGUGGGUCGCCUCUCUGCUUUCCCAGUCUGCACCCCCCACCUCCAUCCAGGCUGCCCCAAGCCCCAGGGCCUUCUGUGUCCCCCGGAUCAUCUUGACAG